rnacentral:rRNA from 1 species
UACAGAGGGGGCAAGCGUUAUUCGGAAUUAUUGGGCGUAAAGGGCGCGUAGGCGGUCCUUCAAGUCUCUCGUGAAAUCCCUCGGCUUAACUGAGGACGUGCGGGAGAUACUGCUGGGCUUGAGUCCGGAAGAGGGUGGUGGAAUUCCCAGUGUAGCGGUGAAAUGCGUAGAUAUUGGGAGGAACACCGGUGGCGAAGGCGGCCACCUGGGCCGGAACUGGACGCUGAGGCGCGAAAGCGUGGGGAGCAAACGGG